GACCGUCCCCAGUUCGGAUCGCAGGCUGCAACCCGCCUGCGUGAAGUCGGAAUCGCUAGUAAUCGCGGAUCAGCAUGCCGCGGUGAAUACGUUCCCGGGCCUUGUACACACCGCCCGUCACACCAUGAGAGUCGGGAACACCCGAAGCCCGUAGCCUAACAGCAAUGAGGGCGCGGUCGAAGGUGGGUUCGAUAAUUGGGGUGAAGUCGUAACAAGGUAGC
rnacentral:rRNA from 1 species